rnacentral:rRNA from 1 species
GAUGAACGCUGGCGGCGUGCCUAAUACAUGCAAGUCGAGCGAACAGACGAGGAGCUUGCUCCUCUGACGUUAGCGGCGGACGGGUGAGUAACACGUGGAUAACCUACCUAUAAGACUGGGAUAACUUCGGGAAACCGGAGCUAAUACCGGAUAAUAUAUUGAACCGCAUGGUUCAAUAGUGAAAGACGGUUUUGCUGUCACUUAUAGAUGGAUCCGCGCCGCAUUAGCUAGUUGGUAAGGUAACGGCUUACCAAGGCAACGAUGCGUAGCCGACCUGAGAGGGUGAUCGGCCACACUGGAACUGAGACACGGUCCAGACUCCUACGGGAGGCAGCAGUAGGGAAUCUUCCGCAAUGGGCAAAGCCUGACGGAGCAACGCCGCGUGAGUGAUGAAGGUCUUCGGAUCGUAAAACUCUGUUAAUUAGGGAAGAACAAAUGUGUAAGUAACUAUAGCACGUCUUGACGGUACCUAAUCAGAAAGCCACGGCUAAC